GAUGAAGAACGUAGCGAAAUGCGAUAAGUAGUGUGAAUUGCAGAAUUCAGUGAAUCAUCGAAUCUUUGAACGCACAUUGCGCCCCUUGGUAUCCCGAGGGGCAUGCCUGUUCGAGCGUCAUUUCACCACUCAAGCCUGGCUUGGUGUUGGGCGACGUCCUCUUUGGGGACGCGCCUCGAAACGCUCGGCGGCGUGGCACCGGCUUUAAGCGUAGCAGAAUCUUUCGCUUUGGAAGUCGGGGCCCCGUCUGCCGGAAGACCUGCUCGCAAGGUUGACCUCGAAUCAGGCAGGGAUACCCGCUGAACUUAAGCAUAUCAAUAAGCGGAGGA
rnacentral:misc_RNA from 1 species